AACGAACGCUGGCGGUAUGCUUAACACAUGCAAGUCGAACGGCAGCAUGGUCUAGCUUGCUAGACUGAUGGCGAGUGGCGGACGGGUGAGUAACGCGUAGGAAUAUGCCUUGAAGAGUGGGACAACUUGGGGAAACUCAAGCUAAUACCGCAUGUACUCGAGAGAGUAAAGCUGGGGACCUUUAGGCAUGGCGCUUUAAGAUUAGCCUGCGUCCGAUUAACUAGUUGGUAGGGUAAAGGCCUACCAAGGCGACGAUCGGUAGCUGGUCUGAGAGGAUGAUCAGCCACACUGGAACUGAGGGACGGUCCAGACUCCUACGGGAGGCAGCAGUGGGGAAUAUUGGACAAUGGGGGGAACCCUGAUCCAGCAAUGCCGCGUGUGUGAAGAAGGCCUGAGGGUUGUAAAGCACUUUCAGUGGGGAGGAGGUUUGGAAGGUUAAGAGCUAUUCAAAUGGACGUUACCCACAGAAGAAGCACCGGCUAACUCCGUGCCAGCCGCCGCGGUAA
rnacentral:rRNA from 1 species